UAGGCCCAGAGAGAGAGAGAGAGAGCUUGGGCGUGAGUGAGAGGGAGCAAACUGGAGGAACAGCACACCAGAUCAGGAUCAAUUCAGAAGGAAGAGGAGCAUGUCAGCGAUACAGAGAGCGAUCCGGAGGUUCCACGCUACCGUGAAUGCUCCAAGGCUCACCAGAUUGUCUCUCCAUGUGCCUAGAUGUGUAGAGGUGGAGUUUGGAAAUGGUAGUGUGUUCAAUUUGUCAGCUGAAUUCUUAAGAAUACACAGUCCAGCUGUUGAUGCCAAGGUUAGGUCAAUUGCUGGUGAAAAGAAACUUGGUUUCCACUCAUCUAUCAAUCGACACAGGUGAUAUCUGGGCGGCGUCACGUUGGAAUUAUGUCUGCAGAACCUGUAGGAAACUAUGGGGAUUGUCUUCGAUGACUUGCAUAACACCGGCAUCUAUUCCUGGGAUUACUUAUAUCAUCUGGGCAGCAACAAAUUCAGCCUCAUGAGAAAUUACAUCAAAACACUCAACAAGUAUGGACUCAAGCGGGAUCCGCCUAGAAGAAAAUGAAUGAUUCAGGCACUGCUCCAUUUCACUUGACCGUCCGUCAUCUGCAACAGGAGCAUGGCAGGAUAAUAUGUGGCACACAUUGGUUUUCUACUUCAUUUCUUAGACCAAAUGCUUAGGGAGCCAAAUUCAACAUCUUUGCCAUUUGUUGUUUGUUUACACCGUAAGCUAUCUAUUCUUGCGACUGUAAUGUACAUGUAAACCAGUUGGCCGGAUAUACAUCAAUCGUUGUGCUGAUUGAA